UAGAGGUGAUGUGACUUUCGGCGGUCUAACCGGUAUUCGAAAAUGUGUUUCUCUCUGGAGAACUGCUCCAUGAAGACGGCAUAUCUGGUGUUUUUCGGUGGUUCUUUUUCUCUCUCCUUACGAAUUGGGUGGAUCUUGACACAACCGACCCCCCACAAAAGUUGAAUUUUGGUGUCGAACCAACAUUAGUGGCCGCGAGACGCUUUGUGGAUGGCUGUGGUAACAGUGAGCGGAAACAGAUUUUGUACAUGAUUAAACAUCAUGAUUUUGUCAAGUUCCUAAAAUUGAAACUGGUAAUUUACUGGUGUUCACUGGAGGAGGAUGAUUACAUCCUUGGCCUUAUUUCCAAUUACUUUUUCCUUGUUUUGCUUAGAAUUGUGUGUUUGGUUAUUGUUCCAAAUUGCUUGUAAUCUAGUUGUUUUUGGCCUGUCAGACAUGUAUUCUUCUGACGUUC